rnacentral:hammerhead_ribozyme from 1 species
AUCCAGCUGACGAGUCUCAACUGGGACGAAAUGAGCGUCAAACUGGAU